rnacentral:rRNA from 1 species
UACGAGAGGAAGGUGGGAUGACGUCAAAUCAGCACGGCCCUUAUGUCCAGGGCUACACACGUGUUACAAUGGCCGGUACAGAGGGCAGCUACCUGGAGACAGGAUGCGAAUCUCGAAAGCCGGUCUCAGUUCGGAUCGGAGUCUGCAACUCGACUCCGUGAAGCUGGAUUCGCUAGUAAUCGCGCAUCAGCCAUGGCGCGGUGAAUACGUUCCCGGGCCUU